UACCUCUUUCUUGGCUGCCACCUUUGUCUGGCUCUGAUACCAAGAAAACAGCACCCAUAUUCCAUAAACAAAGAAACCGAGUAGCGUAAGGCUGAGAUCUGUCGGCAGGGGGAAAGCGAGCCCCCAUAUUAGGGACAUUUCUCAAGCCUAUGCCCCUCUCAACUACUGAGUGUCUGUCUCUAGACUGAGAUUCCAUGACAUCACAAUAGACAGUAUCAGGUAAAGCCAGUGUACACUCAGGUCCCAGCUGAUGCCCUUCCCUGUGGCUGACCUUGACCUUGGCUCUGAGCUCUAAUAGCCAAAGCUCAGGGAAGAAUCCAUCUAUGAAUCUUCUAGGGUCCAGGCAGACAAACUCGUCACUAAGGAAGGAGUGGCGAGGUGACAUCCUCCCUGUUCCACAUCUGGACUCUACCAGCAAAGGGUCUGUCACCAGAUGUGACCUGUCAACACUGCUUCAACUCAGAGCCAAAAUAAAGUUCUUUUCUUGAUCAA